UAGUCAUAUGCUUGUCUCAGAGAUUAAGCCAUGCAUGUCUAAGUAUAAGCGAUCUUAUACAGCGAAACUGCGAAUGGCUCAUUAAAUCAGUUAUAGUCUACUUGAUCGUAUCUUCUUACAUGGAUAACCGUAGUAAAUCUAGAGCUAAUACAUGCUAAAAAUCCCGGACGCGGCAACGCGGAAGGGACGAGUUUAUUAGAUUAAAAACCGACACCUCUCCGCGAGGGGAGGUAGCACAGGUGAUUCACAGUGACCGAUCGGAUCGUCGGCCCCGCCGACGACGAUGCAUACGAGUUUCUGCCCUAUCAACUUUAGAUGGUAGAGUAUCGGUCUACCAUGGUCGUAACGGGUGACGGGGGAUUAGGGUUCGAUUCCGGAGAGGGAGCCUGAGAAACGGCUACCACUUCCAAGGAAGGCAGCAGGCGCGCAAAUUACCCAAUCCCGACACGGGGAGGUAGUGACAAGAAAUACCAUUGUAAUGUCUCCUCGAGAGGCUUACGAUUGGAAUGAGUACAAUUUAAAUCCCUUAACGAGUAACGAUU
rnacentral:rRNA from 1 species